GAAACCCGCAUUCUUGCCAUGUCAUACCUAAUCACCUCUCCCCAAUACCUCUUAGGCCUCCCUCUGCCUCGCCUCACGUCGACCACUGCCAACCGCUCACAACUCCUCACCGGUGCAUCAGGACUUCUCCUCUGCACAUGCCCCAACCACCUGAGCCUCGCUUCUCGCAUCUUCUCAUCCACCGGGGCCACCCCACCAUCUCUCGAAUAACUUCAUUCUUAAUCUUAUCUAACCUGGUGAGCCCACACAUCCACCUGAGCAUCCUCAUCUCCGCAACCUUCAUUCUCUGAACAUGAGAGUUCUUCACUGGCN
rnacentral:lncRNA from 1 species